CCAGUAUCUGCACGUGACUCAGCCCUGGAAGAAUGACAGAUAACAAGAACAAUAUUAGUGACAUAAAAUAUAGGAAUAGAGUGCACAAGACUAGUGGCUAAAAAUUUGCAAGCAGUUCUAUGCAGAAAAGCUUCUGUGGCAUCAUACAGAAACAGGCAUUUAAAUGUUUGUUCCUACAAUUUCCAACCCUCUUGUAAUUCAAGGAAUAGUUAGAACCAUUGGAAUGUUGAUAUGAAUGAGAAUGUGUAGGCAUCUAGAAGAUUAGAUCCACGUCAGACUUUUGUUUUAUUCAGAGGUUUGGCUUCCUGCCCUCUCUUCAGGCAAUAAAUUGGCGGUAACAGCUGCUUCUAGCAUUCUGUUCAGUAGAAGUGUCCUAGCAGAGCAAAAACACACAAAAUAAGGACUCAAAACAGAAGUCAAGUGAGAUCAUCAUCAUCUUCAGCGCCUCUGCAAUGCUGCUCCGCUCAGGCCGUAGAAAGCCCUAUCAAAUGCCUCUCCAUAGAAGGAAGACUAGGAAGAAGAAAUUUCUGCUUGGAAAUAUGAGAACAGCUCUGGAGAAGCCAGUGUUUAGCCUGAGAAAAACAUCAAAAUGUUAUAUACUAACUGAAGAUUCAAAAACAGUGCAUUUUGAUAUAGAUGAAGAUGGUCAUCAUGAAAUAUCUACCAAGGAUUCACAAUCCCAUGAAGAUAUUGCAUGGUUAAGUGUGUUCACAAGGAAUGGAGCAGCAGUUACUGAUAAACGUCUUGUGGGAAAAAAAGAUUCUAAAAAUUUGGUGAGCCUCACACAGAGAUCGAAGUUUAAUGAAUUUGUCCUGUUGUGCAAGGGUAAGAAGCAUCUCUCUCUAAAGGUCUUAAAAGCAUCCUGUUCAGAGCCAGAUGGUCCUUCAAUGGAGAGAUGUAAUAUGAAAACAUGCAGCCAUGAAGAUCCUGACUUUAAAGAGCUGAGUGAAGAUAAUAACUUUUUCAUCAUGCAUUACCAAGGAGAUGCAGUGCAGUUCCAAUGCUAUGAAGACAGCAGAUACUAUCUGUGUGUGAAUGAUGACUCCCUUGAUAUUCGCAAGCUGGAAAACAAAGAGCCCAACGACGACAAAAAUUUUUACUUCAGGGUGUCAUAUUUACAGGAAAAGUAACUUGUCUACCUUUCAGUGGCCUAAGUGUCCAUAUAGCUCCUAAGAAGAUGAGGAAGUUUGAGAUCAACUAAUUUCUGUUUGAGCUAAAUUUUUACAUUUUCAUAACUUCUAAGUCACCAGCAUUCUUUAUUUCUGUGAAUUCAAUAGCAAAAGAGGGAGGCCAAGUUUGAAAAACAUGUUACUAACUGAUCAGUCUCUGUGUCUUACCUACCAAUUAUGUUUUUAAGGAACCAAAAUAUUCUGGUGUGGGAAAAUAUAUGGGGGAUAUUUCAAAGAUGGCAACAAUAAAGAACAUAUUUGAAUAUGAUCA
rnacentral:lncRNA from 1 species